GCUUAGCGGCGGACGGGUGAGUAAUGCUUAGGAAUCUGCCUAUUAGUGGGGGACAACAUUCCGAAAGGAAUGCUAAUACCGCAUACGCCCUACGGGGGAAAGCAGGGGAUCUUCGGACCUUGCGCUAAUAGAUGAGUCCUAAUGUCGGAUUAGCUAGUUGGUGGGGUAAAGGCCUACCAAGGCGACGAUCUGUAGCGGGUCUGAUAGGAUGAUCCGCCACACUGGGACUGAGACACGGCCCAGACUCCUACGGGAGGCAGCAGUGGGGAAUAUUGGACAAUGGGCGCAAGCCUGAUCCAGCCAUGCCGCGUGUGUGAAGAAGGCCUUUUGGUUGUAAAGCACUUUAAGCGAGGAGGAGGCUACUUAGAUUAAUACUCUAGGAUAGUGGACGUUACUCGCAUAAUAAGCACCGGCUAACUCUGUGCCAGCAGCCGCGGUAAUACAGAGGGUGCGAGCGUUAAUCGGAUUUACUGGGCGUAAAGCGUGCGUAGGCGGCUUUUUAAGUCGGAUGUGAAAUCCCUGAGCUUAACUUAGGAAUUGCAUUCGAUACUGGAAAGCUAGAGUAUGGGAGAGGAUGGUAGAAUUCCAGGUGUAGCGGUGAAAUGCGUAGAGAUCUGGAGGAAUACCGAUGGCGAAGGCAGCCAUCUGGCCUAAUACUGACGCUGAGGUACGAAAGCAUGGGGAGCAAACAGGAUUAGAUACCCUGGUAGUCCAUGCCGUAAACGAUGUCUACUA
rnacentral:rRNA from 1 species